rnacentral:rRNA from 1 species
ACGGGGUGCAGCAGGCGCGAAACCUCCGCAAUACACGAAAGUGUGACGGGGUUACCCAAAGUGUUCAAUAGAACUGUGGUAGGUGAGUAAUGUUCCCUACUAGAAAGGAGAGGGCAAGGCUGGUGCCAGCCGCCGCGGUAAAACCAGCUCUUCAAGUGGUCGGGAUAAUUAUUGGGCUUAAAGUGUCCGUAGCCGGUUUAGUAAGUUCCUGGUAAAAUCGGGUAGCUUAACUAUCUAUAUGCUAGGAAUACUACUAUACUAGAGGGCGGGAGAGGUCUGAGGUACUACAGGGGUAGGGGUGAAAUCUUAUAAUCCUUGUUGGACCACCAGUGGCGAAGGCGUCAGACUGGAACGCGCCUGACGGUGAGGGACGAAAGCCAGGGGAGCGAACCGGAUUAGAUACCCGGGUAGUCCUGGCCGUAAACGAUGCAUACUAGGUGAUGGCACGGCCAUGAGCCGUGUCAGUGCCGUAGGGAAACCGUUAAGUGUGCCGCCUGGGAAGUACGGUCGCAAGGCUAAAACUUAAAGGAAUUGGCGGGGGAGCACCACAAGGGGUGAAGCCUGCGGUUCAAUUGGACUCAACGCCGGAAAACUUACCAGGGGAGACAGCAGUAUGACGGUCAG